UNAAAGGUUUGGUCCUGGCCUUUUUAUUGACUUCUAGUAAACUUACACAUGCAAAUAUCCGUACCCCAGUGAGAAUGCCCUCUAUAUCNAACANUGAUCAAAAGGAGUGGGUAUCAAGCACACUAUNNUUAGUUGCUCAUAACGCCUUGCUCAACCACACCCCCACGGGAUACAGCAGUGAUUAAGAUUAAGNCCAUGAAUGAAAAUUCGACUAAGUUAUACUACNNNCCCCGGGUUGGUAAAUUUCGUGCCAGCCACCGCGGUCAUACGAUUAACCCAAGUCAAUNAAAACACGGCGUAAAGCGUGAUUUAANNACAACAAAUUCAAUAAGACCCAGCUUAAACUAAGCCGUAAAAAGCCCUAGUUAUAAUAAAGAUUAAUNNAACGAAAGUAGUCUUAAAAUUUUUGAACUCACGAUAGCUAAGACCCAAACUGGGAUUAGAUACCCCACUAUGCUUAGCCCUAAACCCAAAUGCUCAAAUAACAAGACCAUUCGCCAGAGUACUACUAGCCACAGCUUAAAACUCAAAGGACUUGGCGGUGCUUUACAUCCCUCUAGAGGAGCCUGUUCUAUAAUCGAUAAACCCCGCUAUACCCUACCACCUUUUGCAAACAUCAGCCUAUAUACCGCCAUCUUCAGCAAACCUUAAUAAAGUCUUACAGUAAGCACAAUUAUUNAGACAUAAAUACGUUAGGUCAAGGUGUAGCCUAUAAGGUGGAAAGAAAUGGGCUACAUUUUCUACNACAUUAGAACAAUCNCCUCACGACAGCUUUCAUGAAACUUAAAGCCAAAGGCGGAUUUAGUAGUAAGCUAAGAAUAGAGAGCUUAGCUGAAUGGGGCAAUAAAGCACGCACACACCGCCCGUCACCCUCUUCAAGUCCUACCUACAGAUCACUAAUAUCUAAUUCNUACCCCACAGUAGCAUGAGAAGAGACAAGUCGUAACAAGGUAAACAUACUGGAAAGUGUGUUUGGAUUAAU
rnacentral:ncRNA from 1 species